CCAAUUAUACGGCUCGCUAUAAAGUCGAGCGGAUGACGGGAGCUUGCUCCUUGAUUAGCGGCGGACGGGUGAGUAAUGCCUAGGAAUCUGCCUGGUAGUGGGGGACAACGUUUCGAAAGGAACGCUAAUACCGCAUACGUCCUACGGGAGAAAGCAGGGGACCUUCGGGCCUUGCGCUAUCAGAUGAGCCUAGGUCGGAUUAGCUAGUUGGUGGGGUAAUGGCUCACCAAGGCGACGAUCCGUAACUGGUCUGAGAGGAUGAUCAGUCACACUGGAACUGAGACACGGUCCAGACUCCUACGGGAGGCAGCAGUGGGGAAUAUUGGACAAUGGGCGAAAGCCUGAUCCAGCCAUGCCGCGUGUGUGAAGAAGGUCUUCGGAUUGUAAAGCACUUUAAGUUGGGAGGAAGGGCAGUAAGUUAAUACCUUGCUGUUUUGACGUUACCGACAGAAUAAGCACCGGCUAACUCUGUGCCAGCAGCCGCGGUAAUACAGAGGGUGCAAGCGUUAAUCGGAAUUACUGGGCGUAAAGCGCGCGUAGGUGGUUCGUUAAGUUGGAUGUGAAAGCCCCGGGCUCAACCUGGGAACUGCAUCCAAAACUGGCGAGCUAGAGUACGGUAGAGGGUGGUGGAAUUUCCUGUGUAGCGGUGAAAUGCGUAGAUAUAGGAAGGAACACCAGUGGCGAAGGCGACCACCUGGACUGAUACUGACACUGAGGUGCGAAAGCGUGGGGAGCAAACAGGAUUAGA
rnacentral:rRNA from 1 species